rnacentral:lncRNA from 1 species
AAUCAUUGCCUCAACUCUGGUGAUUCGCGUAAAAAUAACACACAUCCCCCGAGUUUAAUAACAGUAAAGUGAAAGUUAAAAAAAAAGAAAUAGACUAUAGGUUCUCGUGAUAUAAAUAGACAGUCUAACAAACAACUCAGGUCUCCGUUUCAAUCAGAUAUUACAUAGAGUAUGCUGUUUUUAUUUGGCGUAGAUGUGUCUUUAUUACUUUUAACAAUCCAAAGUAAUAAAUAUCAAACGUACACGUCUUCUUUGGUGCUAGGGCUGCCAUACUUUUUGCGAUGUUUGUUUACAUUUUGGGCAACACAAAUGCCUUUCAUUUUAACGGAAUUACACAAAUCGUCAAAUGAGAAAACGUUACAAAGUAUUUCACAACGUUGUUCCGUAAAAAGUAUCAACAUCUAUAGUUUGCCUGGUUCGCGCUAUGCAUUAGAAAGCCAGAUCAAGCUAAAAUUUUGGGAUCAUUUCAACGAAGUUCUCAAGUAUGUUCUCUGAAAAGCUUCAAUUUAUUUACGUACGUUUUCAAGAGAAAGAUAAAAUUUUACAUUAUAAACGUACAGGGCUAAUGUAUUUACCUACCGAACGAUCAGAGCAUCUGAUAGGACAAACUCUGAAACUUUUCCAUCACAAUGAGACUUCUGCUAUAAAUAUCCGUUGUUUAUAGUUGGCGCGCCAGCUUAAUAAAAUAAAGUCUGUUCCGAUAAAAUAAACGAAAAACGUCGUCUAAAAAUUACCGCAAAAAUUCAAUUAUUGUAUAUCAAUAAAUAUAAUACCAUGUAAAAAUUCUUUAAAUAUUCAUUUAUUUUUGCAUCUAAUUUAUUUCUU